rnacentral:lncRNA from 1 species
GGAAGGUGGGGUUGGUACCGGAUGGGGUGGGGGUGGGGUACUUUCUGGAGGAUGGACGGCUCAGCCACCCAGGCGCUAAUUAAGAUUUGACAAAAGAGGUGUCUGUAGAGCAAACAGGCAGAUUUUUACGAGGGCAGGGGGAAGAGCUUAGAUGACAGGUGUUUAAAACUGAAGCCAUUUUCCCUGGGAUGGGCACCCAUCCUGGCAUUCAGCCCAGGCACACUGAUGAGGAAGUACAGGGCUUGAAUCUUCUGUUCGGAAACCCUAGGGCAAGCCCAGAGACCCCCUAGGAGGCAUAAUGGCCUCAUUAUUAUGUUAACCAGAAGGCUGAGGUUUCUUAAAAGGGCACCUCCCUUUCCUGGGUUUGUUUCACCCAAUUCCCUGCACUCAGCUGAGCGCCCUCGGGCACUGUCUCUGGAGGGCAGGCGACCCCCUGGAUCUGAAACCAGCUUGUGGCCUCUGGACAAAAUGUCCUCGAAUUAAAGGAAGGAAUGUAACUCCAAAGAAAGAAAAGUCAGCUCCAGGUUCAUUCCCUGCAGCUCAGCUGGCUGUUUAUGUCUCUACAAAGCAUUCACCCCAGAAAGGAAUGUGUACAGCCGGAGGCAUCGCAGAAAACAACACACCCCAAUGUCAGGGUUCCUGCACUCCGCCCUCAGGGCAGCCAGGCCAAGAACAGGAGUUGAUUCUUGACGGAAAGCUCCAAAUGAGACCGGACCUUGAAGGUUCUGCCCUGGAGCACUGGAGGCUGGGGCGGGGCGGGGGGGCGGGGGGGGGCAGGUUGUGUGUGUCCCAGUCCUAUCUGUGGCUUUGGAUGAGUCCUUUGUAGUUAUGUUACCUAUUCCCAAUUCCUAAAAUAAAGGUGAUUAAGAGAUUAUUCA